UCCUGGCGGAAAAUCUAAGUCCAUUUAAAAGUAAAAUAGGGAAAAAAUGGAUUUAUAUUUUUACAAAAUUUACUUCUGGAUACAAUCUUAUGAUCAAAAUUAUACAAGUUCCUUUCCAAGUUUGGUAUAAACCCAGGGUAGUUUAAAAAUUUUGCUCUAGAUACUAGCUUUUGAUCAUCAACACGCUUUUGAUCAUAAACACGCU
rnacentral:lncRNA from 1 species